rnacentral:tRNA from 1 species
GGACUGUGGCUCAGUGGUAGAGUGCUUGCCUAGAAUGUGCGGGGCCUUGGGUUCGAUCCUCAGCACCA